rnacentral:rRNA from 1 species
ACAAUGGGGGAAACCCUGAUGCAGCGACGCCGCGUGGAGGAAGAAGGUCUUCGGAUUGUAAACUCCUGUUGUUGGGGAAAAGAAGGAUGGUACCCAACAAGGAAGUGACGGCUAACUACGUGCCAGCAGCCGCGGUAAAACGUAGGUCACGAGCGUUGUCCGGAAUUACUGGGUGUAAAGGGAGCGCAGGCGGGUAUGCAAGUUGGGAGUGAAAUACAUGGGCUCAACCCAUGAACUGCUCUCAAAACUGUGUAUCUUGAGUAGUGCAGAGGUAGGCGGAAUUCCCGGUGUAGCGGUGGAAUGCGUAGAUAUCGGGAGGAACACCAGUGGCGAAGGCGGCCUACUGGGCACCAACUGACGCUGAGGCUCGAAAGUGUGGGUAGCAAACAGGAUUAGAUACCCUGGUAGUCCACACCGUAAACGAUGAUUACUAGGUGUUGGAGGAUAGACCCCUUCAGUGCCGCAGUUAACACAAUAAGUAAUCCACCUGGGGAGUACGACCGCAAGGUUGAAACUCAAAGGAAUUGACGGGGGCCCGCACAAGCAGUGGAGUAUGUGGUUUAAUUCGACGCAACGCGAAGAACCUUACCAAGUCUUGACAUCCUCUGGCGAGUACAGAAAUGUGCUUUUCCUUCGGGACAGAGAGACAGGUGGUGCAUGGUUGUCGUCAGCUCGUGUCGUGAGAUGUUGGGUUAAGUCCCGCAACGAGCGCAACCCUUAUGGAUAGUUACUACGCAAGAGGACUCUAUUCAGACUGCCGUUGACAAAACGGAGGAAGGUGGGGAUGACGUCAAAUCAUCAUGCCCUUUAUGACUUGGGCUACACACGUACUACAAUGGCGUUCAACAAAGAGAAGCGAAGCCGCGAGGCAGAGCAAAACUCAAAAACAACGUCCCAGUUCAGAUUGCAGGCUGCAACUCGCCUGCAUGAAGUCGGAAUUGCUAGUAAUCGCAGAUCAGCAUGCUGCGGUGAAUACGUUCCCGGGCCUUGUACACACCGCCCGUCACACCAUGAGAGCCGGGGGGACCCGAAGUCGGCAGUCUAACCGCAAGGAGGACGCCGCCGAAGGUAAAACUGGUGAUUGGGGUGAAGUCGUAACAAGGUAGCCGUAGGAGAACCUGCGGCUG